rnacentral:rRNA from 1 species
GAUGAACGCUGGCGGCGUGCCUAAUACAUGCAAGUCGAGCGAAGCGGGGACGGGUGAGUAACACGUGGAUAACCUCCUAUAAGACUGGGAUAAACUCGGGAAACCGGAGCUAAACCCGAAUCUUAUAGAUGGAGCCGCGCUGCAUUAGCUAGUUGGUAAGGUAACGGCUUACAAAGGCAACGAUCCAUCGCCGACCUGAGAGGAUGAGCGGCCACACUGGAACUGAGACACGGUCCAGACUCCUACGGGAGGCAGCAGUGGGGAAUCUUGCGCAAUGGGCGAAAGCCUGACGGAGCAACGCCGCGUGUGUGAUGAAGGUCUUCGGAUCGUAAAGCUCUUUUAUUAGGGAAGCGGUACCUGAUCAGAAAGCAACGGCUAACUACGUGCCAGCAGCCGCGGUAAUAC